GAUGAACGCUGGCGGCGUGCCUAAUACAUGCAAGUCGAGCGAACGGACGAGAAGCUUGCUUCUCUGAUGUUAGCGGCGGACGGGUGAGUAACACGUGGAUAACCUACCUAUAAGACUGGGAUAACUUCGGGAAACCGGAGCUAAUACCGGAUAAUAUUUUGAACCGCAUGGUUCAAAAGUGAAAGACGGUCUUGCUGUCACUUAUAGAUGGAUCCGCGCUGCAUUAGCUAGUUGGUAAGGUAACGGCUUACCAAGGCAACGAUGCAUAGCCGACCUGAGAGGGUGAUCGGCCACACUGGAACUGAGACACGGUCCAGACUCCUACGGGAGGCAGCAGUAGGGAAUCUUCCGCAAUGGGCGUAAGCCUGACGGAGCAACGCCGCGUGAGUGAUGAAGGUCUUCGGAUCGUAAAACUCUGUUAUUAGGGAAGAACAUAUGUGUAAGUAACUGUGCACAUCUUGACGGUACCUAAUCAGAAAGCCACGGCUAACUACGUG
rnacentral:rRNA from 1 species